rnacentral:rRNA from 1 species
AACGAACGCUGGCGGCAGGCCUAACACAUGCAAGUCGAGCGAAGUCUUCGGACUUAGCGGCGGACGGGUGAGUAACGCGUGGGAACAUACCCUUUGGUACGGAAUAGCCUCGGGAAACUGGGAGUAAUACCGUAUGUGCCCUUCGGGGGAAAGAUUUAUCGCCAAAGGAUUGGCCCGCGUUGGAUUAGGUAGUUGGUGGGGUAAUGGCCUACCAAGCCGACGAUCCAUAGCUGGUUUGAGAGGAUGAUCAGCCACACUGGGACUGAGACACGGCCCAGUCUCCUACGGGAGGCAGCAGUGGGGAAUCUUAGACAAUGGGCGCAAGCCUGAUCUAGCCAUGCCGCGUGAUCGAUGAAGGCCUUAGGGUUGUAAAGAUCUUUCAGCUGGGAAGAUAAUGACGGUACCAGCAGAAGAAGCCCCGGCUAACUCC